UGAAAGACCCCAGCUUAACAGCAGUAACGCCAUUUUGCAAGGCUGUACUUAAGAUGACUGGUUCAGGGAAAGGUUAGAACACUGAGUACACAGCGGCUGCCAAGCAAGAUAUGUUUGGUUGAAGGCCUGGCAACAGGACGACUUCGGUUGAGCACCUGACAAUGAAAAAAAGCCCCAGGAGAGGUCCCACACCCUGGUGGGGGGCCGAGUCAGUCGUUAUGUUCCAAGAAGGUAGCUAAGAAACUUGCCCCCGGGCUGAACCCUUGGGGGGCCGAGUCAGCCGUUAUGUUUCAGGAAGGUAGCUAGGAAACUUGCCCCCGGGCUAAACCCUUGCCAUAUUAGAAUCCACCAAUUAUAUUCCUGUAACCAUGCAUCUGCUUCUGUAUGCUUGCUUCUGCUCCCCAAAAUCCUAUAAAAGCCCAUCCUUGGUUCCGUGGGGCGCGCCAGUCCCCCGAGUGACUGAAGCGCCCGCAGGUGCCUGUGCCUGUGUAUCCCGACAAUAAACCAAAUCCUCUUGCUGAUUGCAUCCUGUGGUGUCUCGGUCUGGUCUUUGGAGUUGGAGGGUCUCCAUCCUGAGGGAAAGUUCUCCCUGAGAGCUUUUCAUUUGGUGCGUUGGCCGGGAAAGGAGAUCCUCCACCCAGGGACCACCGACCACCCACUGGGAGGUAAGCCGGCCGGCGUCUGUCUGUCUGUCUGAUUUUGUCUCGUUCUGCCUUAUUCUGUCUGUUCUGUGAGCGCUCAGCCAGGUCUGUUCUGUGAGCGCUCAGCCAGGUCUGUUCUGUGAGCGCUCAGCCAGGUUGUUUGGAAUUUGGGCGGGACGAAGAAGGAGCUGACGAGCUCGGACUUCUCGCCCCGCAGCCCUGGAAGACGUUCCAAGGGUGUUGGGGCCCGACUUUUCGGGGCCCAAUCUGGGAGAGGAGAAAGAUCCGGACUAACGGCACUCUGUCUGUAUUUUUGGCUUUCAGAGGGCCCCGGACCUUUGCCACCUCCAUCUGACUUUUUGCUUUCAGUUUGGUACCAAAGCCGUGCAGCACGCCUGUCUGUUGUUUGUUUGACUGUUGGUGUUGUUUGUUUUCUCUGUGUUCUAAUCUUCCUUAGAACUAACAUGGGACAGUCCCUAACAACGCCCCUAAGUCUCACUCUUGAUCAUUAGAAAGACGUCCACGACCAGGCACACAACCAGUCCGUCGAGGUUAAAAAAAAAAAAAAAGAAAA